rnacentral:siRNA from 1 species
UUUGGUUGAACUUGUAGAGUCAAA